rnacentral:rRNA from 1 species
GUCUACGGCUAUACCACCCUGAACGCGCCUGAUGUCAUCUGAUCUCGGAAGCUAAGCAGGGUCGGGGCUGGUUAGGACAUGGAUGGGAGAAUACAGCAAAGAUGCCUUUGGAA